rnacentral:misc_RNA from 1 species
GGCUACUGCUGCAGUUGCAAUAUCUGGAAAACAAUGCAGAUAAAGGAUACAACUAAAACCCUCAAAAAAAUAAAAAGAGAAAAAGAGCAUGCGCAACGUUAACAAUUGGCAGUCACAUACAGAGAAAGAAAGCAGAUAUUAUCUUUGUCAGCAACAUAUUCAAUAGAUAAAAUAAAUCCUAAGCACGGGUAAAAUGGUGAUGCUCGUAAAUCUUUGGAGGGUUAAUGGUGCCACAAAAUCUUCACAGGUCUAAAAAUUUUAAUGGUCUUCUUUACUAAAAGAAAAA